rnacentral:rRNA from 1 species
UACGUAGGGUGCGAGCGUUGUCCGGAAUUAUUGGGCGUAAAGGGCUCGUAGGCGGUUUGUCGCGUCGGGAGUGAAAACUCAGGGCUUAACCCUGAGCCUGCUUCCGAUACGGGCAGACUAGAGGUAUGCAGGGGAGAACGGAAUUCCUGGUGUAGCGGUGAAAUGCGCAGAUAUCAGGAGGAACACCGGUGGCGAAGGCGGUUCUCUGGGCCAUAACUGACGCUGAGAAGCGAAAGCAUGGGGAGCGAACAGG